AUACGGAGGAUGCAAGCGUUAUCCGGAUUUAUUGGGUUUAAAGGGUGCGUAGGCGGAUGAUUAAGCGUGAGGUGAAAUGCCACUGCUCAACAGUGGAACUGCCUCGCGAACUGGUUGUCUUGAAUGCUCCUGCCGUGGGAGGAAUGUGUGGUGUAGCGGUGAAAUGCAUAGAGAUCACACAGAACACCGAUUGCGAAGGCAUCUCACGAAGGGGUGAUUGACGCUGAGGCACGAAAGCGUGGGGAUCAAACAGGAUUAGAUACCCUGGUAGUCCACGCAGUAAACGAUGAUGGCUAACCGCUGGAUCCAUCGGCUCAGUGGCCAAGCGAAAGCGAUAAGCCAUCCACCUGGGGAGUACGACCGCAAGGUUGAAACUCAAAUGAAUUGGCGGGG
rnacentral:rRNA from 1 species